AAGGUCAGAAAGGAUGUGCACAUAUCCCAGGAAGUGCAACCCUAACAAGUUCUGCCUCUAUCAUCGUGACUACGACCAUGACACAGAGGAGUGCAUUCAGCUCUGAGACGAGAUCGAGGAGCUCAUCAGACGAGGUUGGCUCGACAGAUUCAUUCGAUGCUGGCCUGAAGGUAGGGAAGAUCGGCCGAGGGUCCUGCCACAAUCGGAGCCACCAAGGAUGGAGGAGCAGCCUG
rnacentral:lncRNA from 1 species